GACAUAGGUGGCGAACGUUAUCCGGAUUUAUUGGGCGUAAAGGAUGCGUAGAUGGCAGAAUAAGUUAUCAGUUUAAGUUAAGCUCAACUUGACAGGAGCUGGUAAUACUAUUCUACUCGAGGAAAGGAGAGGUUGGCGGAAUUCUGUGUGGAGCGGUGAAAUGCGUAGAGAUCAGGAAGAACACCGGUGGCGAAGGCGCUCUGCUAGGCCGCAACUGACACUGAGGGACGAAAGCUAGGGGAGCGAAUGGG
rnacentral:rRNA from 1 species